AGUUGAUAUGUUCAGCCGCUCCCCACAUAAUUCUCUCCUGUUGAUUGUGUUGUCUGCAAAUACACUUCACUCACACAAAAAUGGAGAUCAGAGUUCCAUCAAAUCCACACACCCUCAACCGUUUAACCCAUCUUUCUCUGUCAUUUUGUCGGUCACCGGAGCCGACCCUCGGAGGCACUCAGCGGCGAGCAGCGUGAAGAAGAGACAGAGAGAGAUCAGAGCAUGGAGAAAGAGAAAGACGACGGAACUGUCGUUUUCCGGCGAACCGCAUCUGCGGUGGUCUCUCGGCGACUCAUCUCACGGUGGCUCGACUCACGACGGUGUCGCACAGCACAGGCGGCAGCAGCAGCGACGGUGACUGAUGGUGACGGUGGUGUUUCUCCGACGAGAUUCCUGGUAAACACUUCCCCUUUCUCUUCAUUUCUUACAAAAAUGAAGAUUGGUAGUGAUUUGGUGGUUGCUAUCGAUGACCAGUUCAUGUUCGGGUCCGAGAAUAUAUCGGGUCGGGUCCAGUCGUAGGUUUGGGCGGAUAAGUUCGGUUUUGUUUCAGUUAGCUCGGGUUCACGCCAAACCUUAGCAGAUUUGAAUUUGGUUUGCUUCGGCUCGUGUUCAGUUCGGGUCAGGUUCGGUCAACAGUGGUCAACAGUAGCCAACCGGUCAACUACGGGUCAGCGACUCGAUCGUUUCGGGUGACCGCGGUGUUCCAUCCUCCUAAUCUCUUACGCUCGUCAGCACGGGAUAAUCGGAAGAGUUAGCAAUUCUGUUGAUGAUGACGAUGCUAUGAAAAGAAGUAGCGUUGAUGCCUAGAUACACAUAUA